rnacentral:lncRNA from 1 species
CGCUGAUGAUGGAUAACGGGGGCUAAGGGUCUUUCUUGAUAUUUGGUGUCUCUGGGGAAUGGAUGCUUCCAAGCCUUCUUUGCCUCUGGGUAUUAAGAGCUAGCUACAUUCACACCUCAGUCCAUGCCCUUCCUUCUGUUUUAAAAACAUCUUGAUGGAUUCAGGACAAAGUGCCGGGUAGACCUUGUACAGAUGUCUGGCCGAAACCUCCUUUCGGCGCAAAGGCGCCCACCACACUCCAAGUUGCACUAUUUUGUUCAGAUACCAUUCCAACCUAUUCUACAAGCUUUGGUAGUGUGCUUUAGACGAUACUAAACCGGAAUGAGGGGAAUGUUCGGCACUAAGAAGCUCGAACGUGGCUUUCACUGCACCCAGUUAGCCGAAGGGAAGCCAGCAAGAACCCACAGUCACCGAAAGUAAAGCUCAUGAAGCAAAAAAUUGGGUAGGGACUUCCGAUUCCUAAAGAUAGCAACGGGAAUAAAGAAGAUCUAUCACUAGGUUGCAUUGAAGGUGAUAAUAGUCCACUGGAGAAUUGAGACUGCAAUGGAGAGGUGUGGAGACGACACUCAGUGUCCAGAAAAUACCCUAAUUAUCAUUCGUAAACUUUGCCAACAGCUAUACAACUUCUUUCCUGUCUUAUAAAAAUGAUUGGGGCUAUUAAUAAUCUUCAUGAUUGCAUUGACAGCCAUAACUUGCUGGUAGACAAAAAUCGAGUCCUGUCGGAUUGGCGGGUUUACUCCCGGCUAACCCUGAAUGUAUUUUACAAGUAUAAGAAAAGAAGAAG